ACUAAACAGGUCACCUACUGGUAUUUUGUGCAUGGGAUUUGUAAGGAAGGAGAUAACUGUUGUUACUUGCACUCCCUCUCUGACAGUCCACAUGGUGUAGUGGGCACGUAUUUUCAGCGAGGGUGCUGUAUUUAUGGAGGCCGCUGCAGAUGUGAACUCAGCAAGCCACUGAAACGGAAAGAAGCAACUGCUACAGAUCUGACUACAAAAUCAUCCCUUGCUGCUUCCUCAAGUCUCUCGUUCAUAGUUGGACCGCUUGUUGAAACGAAUACAGGCAAAGCUGAGUCCAAUUCAAACUUGGCAACUGUAGGAGCGUGUUCAGAGGACUGGUGGAUGCUGUUGAGUUUGUUCCCAGGCAACUCUACUGCAGCCAUGCUGCCUCUUUCUGCAGUGACCAAGGGAGAAUCAGAGAAAGAGCAAAUAGCUGUGAUAACAAAGAAGCCGCUUUGCCCCUAGGCUGCAGUGGGAGAGAUGGAAAUGGGUAGAACUGUGUGUGUCUCCACAGAGAGUCAUGUGAUCAUGUAAGCUGCAGGUCCUACCUCCAAUGGAUGCUGCCCAGAGACCACAGCAUGUGAAAAUCUUGCCCUGAGGCCCAUGAGAAGGAAACAGAGCUCUCACUGGCUAUGCAGUGCAGCAAGGAUACGAUGUGUGGGAUCUGCAUGAAGGUGGCCUGUGAGAAAGCCAGCACCGGUGAGCGUGGCUUUGGGAUCCUCUCCAGCUGCAGCCACACCUACUGUCUCAAGUGUAUUCACAAGUGGAAGGGCACUAAGCUAUUUGAGAGCAAGAUCAUAGUGUCCUACCCAGAAUGCCGGGUCACAUCUAACUUUGUCAUUCCCAGUGAGUACCGGGUGGGAGAAAUAAGAGAAGCAGAAACGAUUUUGAUGAAGGAUGGGGGAGCUGCCUAUCUUGGGGGAUGUGUUUUUACAAGCAGGUAUUCCCUGAUGGCCAUAGAAAGGAUAGAGACAGGCAAGCAGAUACUGGGCCCAGUGAAGGAACCACUUCUAGGAGUUCAUUGAGGAAAGAGAGAACAAUGACCCCUUUGACAACAAUGAAGAAGAGGUUGUCACCUUUGAGCUGGGUGAGAUGUUGCUUAUGCUCGUGGCAGAUGGGGACGAUGAACUGACAGACUUUGAAAAUGAGUGGGACUUGUUCCAUGUUGAUUUGGAAGAUUUUUAUGACUUGGCUCAAUAGCCACCUCGCGUGGCAUGUGGACUGGCCUGCUGACCUCAGCAGCAGUCCCCUGUGGCAGUGUGACAGUGUCCGUGUUUGCUGUCUUAAUUUUUACCCAGGGCCUGUCUUCUCAAUCUGUGACCUUUCCCCAAGAAGUGUGUUACUUUCUCUGUGGAAAAAAGAUUCAAAAAUAAAUCCUGAAGUUAGUGUUUUGUAA